AUGUAAGUGUCUCAGCAGUUGGACAGCCCAAGUUGAUUUUACCUGAGCUUGAAAGCUGAGCAGGUUUGAGCCUGUUAGUACUUAGAUGGGAGGCCACCUGAGAAUAUCAGGUGCUUUAUAUU
rnacentral:rRNA from 1 species